GCCUGGAUAGCUCAGGUGGCUAGAGCAUGGUGCUGAUAAUGCCAAGAUUCCAGGUUUGAUCCCUAUACAGGACA